UAUGGGAGCGGGCUUGCCCGCGAUAGCGGUGUGUCAGUGAAAAAUACCUCGACUGACCCAGCACUAUCGCGGGCAAGCCCGCUCCCACA
rnacentral:misc_RNA from 1 species